UACGUAGGUGGCAAGCGUUUAUCCGGAAUUAUUGGGGCGUAAAGAGCUCGUAGGCGGUUUGUCGCGUCGGCUGUGAAAACCUGAGGCUCAACCUCAGGCCUGCAGUCGAUACGAGCAGACUAGAGUGUUGCAGGGGAGACUGGAAUUCCUGGUGUAGCGGUGAAAUGCGCAGAUAUCAGGAGGAACACCGGUGGCGAAGGCGGGUCUCUGGGCAACAACUGACGGCUGAGGAGCGAAAGCCAGGGGAGCAAACAGG
rnacentral:rRNA from 1 species